CCCAGGGCCGCAGUCGCUUCGGCUAGCCUGCGAGUCUCAGUGGAAAAAGGGGUUCCAGAAGUGCGUCCCCCGGGCCGCUCACCCGGCACUGCAAUUGUGGGGGGAAGAGAAUAGAGGAGUGAAGAAGGGUGCAUUUUCCAUCUCACCUCGGUCCUCGGCUAGGAAAACCACGUAGCCCUGACCAGUGGGCUCAAGGCCCUGCUGGAAACUGGUUCUGAGUGUAUAUGUCUCAGCUUGAGAUGAGAAAAUGAGAACAAGUAACAAGCAUAUUUUUUCAACUGUAAAAUUGGUUUUCAAAUCUGCUAAUUGGUGAAAAGAGAUCAACUUCUCUCUCAAGUUACAGAAGCAGAAAUUCAACUGGUCCUUAUUAAUGAAAGAUCUUCAGUGAAGGUUGAAAGCCCUUCAGAUCAAUCAUACCACACUUUGAGCUCCUCUGGCCUCUGUGGUUCCCUCAUCUGUGCUCACAGCUCACAGGUGUGCAGGACAGCUAUGUCCAGGACUCACUGAGGACAAAAAUGGUUACUUAACCACGCAGUUGAAAUAUCCUUUCUAUGGAAGGUUAAAAAUCCCAGGAAGUCUGUGGGACUGGCUUUUGGAGUAUAGCUAUGAGUAAAAUAUUCUCUAGAUUUUCCCAAUGUAUUGUGAUUCAAUUUAUCAGAUAAAUGAGUUGUUGGAGGACUUUCAUUUAAAUUGACAAAUUUUCCUCCAGUAUAAAGUUCCAUAGGGACAUAGUCUUCAUUCUUUACCAAUUUCAGGUUGCCACUAAUGUCUAGAGGAACUAAAGGUAUUUAGCCUCAGGGUGAUAUAUGAGCUACUUUCAAAUAUUUGUAGAAUGUUAUAUAGAAGUAGUAGUAUACUUUUUCUCCAAAGUCAUAUGGGUGGGACAAAAUCUUAGUAAUCAUAGUUGUCCAGUAGACUACUUUGGAGGUUGUGACCCACCUCUACCUCUGGAGAUGUUCAGUAAAAGUGUGGAUGAUCAUUUGACAUGAAAGUCAUGUGUCAGAUAUUUCUUGGACCAGAUGGUAUGAAAGAGCUCUCCAAACCUGAAAGUUCUAAGAAUCUUUAAUGAGUAUUUUAAAAAAUUAUUUAAAAUUUUUUGUUGUUGUUGUUUUAGCAUGAAAUCUGAGGAAGAGCUGUUUGCUAGAGGCAAAAUGUAUGCCUAUGUUUUUAUACUUUUAAGUUUUAAAAUUGUUGCAUUAUUUUAUCUUUUUUCAGAUAGCUCACUGGAAAUAAAUAUGGAAAUUUCCUAAGAGGCUGAAUACUGAUGAGGUUGUAACUGAAUUUAGAAUUAUCUUCUGGACACAAUUCCUUGGGUGAUAUAGGAUCCUAAAUUUAUUUGUUUUACCUUUGUAUUUUGGAAAAGUUAAAACUUAUAAAAGUUGAUAAAUUAGUAUCCUGUGUGCCCAUCACCUAGCUGCAAGAAUUAUUAACUUACAGGGCAGAAUAAUGGCCCCUGCAAGAUGUCCAUGUCCUAAAGCCUGGAACUUGUUGAUAUGUUAGGUUAUGUGAUAAGCAAGAAUUAUGGUUACACAUGGAAUUAAGGUUGCUCAUCAGUUGAGGCUGAGAUGGGGGAGAUUAUCCUGAUUCUCCAGGUGGGAACAAUCUAAUCACAUGCAUCUUUGUAAGUGCAAGAAGGAGGCACUGGAGAGAGACCCAGAUAGAUGGCCAUGUGAGAAGGUAUUGGCUGAUGCUGUUGAAGAGAGAUGGAGGAAUGGGGCCUUGAGCCAAGGAAUGUGGCUAGCCUAUAAAAGCUGAAAAAGGCAAGGAAACAGAUUCUCCCCUAGAGCAGCCUGAAGGAUUGGAGGCCUGUCGACACCUUGAUUUUAGCCUAGUGAGACCUAAUUCAGAUUUCUUACCUACAGAACCAUAAGAUAAUAAAUUUGUGUUGUUCUAGGCCACUGAGUUUGAGGUAAUUUUUUAUAGCAGCUAUAGAAAACAGAUUUCUAAAAAAAAAGGGAGAGAGAGAGAAAGGCUGUCAAAAUGUGAAGGGAAUAAAAUAAUCCUUAAGGUUAAUGCUAAAAAUUUCUUUGAAUGUAUUUUACAAACCUAGCAAAGAAAGACUGCUUUUAUUUGUUGGCUUUGACUACAAAAGGAAUGGAUGUAAGUCUGAAUAUCUAUAAAAGAGAUUUGAAUAUAUAUACCAAAGUUUAAAUAGAUAUUUAAAUUGCUAAUAUGAUUAGUUUUAUUAAUCAUUUGAAUGAUUUAAGCCCAUUACUCUCAUCUUUUGGUGCCAUUUUUGUUAAACUACUUACUUCCAUUACAUAAAUUGCAAAUUAGAUACUCUGGCUUACUUAAAUAUAUGUGUUAUGGUACUCUUGAUGGUUUUCCUUUAUAUACUGUUUAUCCAAUUUCAGCAAAAAGGCAGAUAUUGGAGAGAUAAAAAUUCAUUAUUUUAUAGAAGCUAGUGAAAUUGUUUAUACUUAUUAAGAUAUGGUACUUUCAAUAA